rnacentral:rRNA from 1 species
AUUGAACGCUGGCGGCAGGCCUAACACAUGCAAGUCGAACGAGUGGCGGACGGGUGAGUAAUGUCUGGGAAACUGCCUGAUGGAGGGGGAUAACUACUGGAAACGGUAGCUAAUACCGCAUACCAUCAGAAGUGCCCAGAUGGUAUUAGCUAUUAGGUGGGGUUACAGCUCACCUAGGCGACGAUCCCUAGCUGGUCUGAGAGGAUGACCAUCCACACUGUAACGUAGAUACGGUCCAGACUCCUACGGGAGGCAGCAGUGGGGAAUAUUGCACAAUGUGCGCAAGCCUGAUGCAGCCAUGCCGCUUGUAUGAAGAAGGCCUUCGGGUUGUAAAGUACUUUCAGCGGGGAGGCGUUACCCGCAGAAGAAGCACCGGCUAACUCCGUGCCAGCAGCCGCGGUAAUUC